UGAAUUAGAUUUUGUAGGAUAUUAACACGUCUAUUUAGGACAUGAUUUCAGAUGGCAGCUUGCUGCCAAAACCGGCCACAAAAUGGGUGUAAAUUAAAAAAUAUUUGCUGUGCGGCUUCUUACUUUGAGGAGUCAACAGUUUUUACAUUAGAAUCGCAAAUUUGUUUGCAUACAACAUAAAAAUUGUAAUUCAUAUCAUGAGUAACCCUUCUUUUCAAGCAUACAUAUGUAACUUGAUCACUCCAUUAUUUUGUUUCUUAAGCGCUGGCAACUGUGUGCACUUAUUUUAGUGAACAUAUAUCCAGUUUUUGGGGCGCUUUAUGCCUUUUUGUUUGUUGUUACCCAGUGUAUAUUUAUAAUAAAAUUUAUUUAUGAGCGCAUCAACUCGAGCAACAACUCAAACAGGUAACUUACAUUAUAGGCAUUUACAUUUUUAAUUGGUUUUAACCAAAUUACUUAUCAACCAUAAACAAGAUCGAACAAUUAUAAAUAUUGUGUUUUUAAUUACCAUCCAUUUAUUAUUAUAAACCAGUUAACGACUUAAUAUGCUAAUGUGCCCUUCAUAUACACCUACAUAUGUAUAUUAUUCAUUUACGAAGCAUACAUUCAUGUUUAUGCAUAUGUACAUAUCUACAUAUGUAUGCAUAGAUAUGAAACACACAUACUGUUUAACAAAAAAAUACUACAUACAAAUAUGUAUGUAUAUACAAAGUUGAUUCGAACCUGGAACCAUUGAAAAUGGGUAAUAGGGAGUGUAAUGAAGUUGUGCAAAUGUAUGGAACAGGCACAAGCGGACACUGCCAUACCUUAAAAUAUUUUUAUACGUGUUAAGGACGAUGAGAUGAAUCGAUCCAUGAACGCGUCUGUCCGUAUGAACGAGCCGAGGUCUCCACAAAAGCUAAAUACGUUAGAAUAUAAAUAUGUACUCUUAAACAACACGCAAAACGUGAUUAAAAAUAUUUGCCGUUAUCUCGCCUUAUAUCGAUAACAUCGAUAAGAAUCGGUUUUUAGACAUGGUUUUUUAAAUAUGGUUUGUAUGGUUAGUGGUAUAUGUAACUCAAAAGUCCAAUAAGCUAGAUACACCAAAUCUGGUUUUAUCUCCAUGAAGAGUUUUUACUACAUGAAAAAAUGAAAAUAUAAUAUAAAAUGCAGCUUUUCCCUUAGGUGUUUGCAAACGUCUGAGUUCAAGAUAUUAUGCCCUUAAAAUAUCAUGAGCACCGAUGAUAUUUAAUUAUUCCACUGGUGGGGAAUUUAUUUGCAAAAAGAUAUAUAUAUAUUUAUGGAAGGCAGAUAGAAUUUUUGGACGCGGGGUUUAAUCAAUCUACAAGUACACCGAAGUUAUUUGUUAAACGUUUCCUUAAAAUCCAAGCCUACCAGAACCAAAUUUUAAUAAUAGUAUAUUUAUGAGCAACUCUGUCUUAACAUUCAAUUUUAGCUUGUGGGCAACGAUCUGUUUUGACAUUUGGGUUGAACUUUCUUUUGUAAUAUUGCUAUAAAUACUUAUAACAAAAAUUUCUCUCAUAAACACUUAAGGGUCGGGACCUAUGGAACUAGUUUAAGUUACAGCCUUAUUUAAGGAAACUGUUAUUUUUGCCUAGACCUAGCAAAAAGUGUGUAAACUUUUCGUUAAGUUAAUUAUGCAUUUCUUUCUGCAGCGGGUAAGACCGACGAUUCUAUUGUGUUAUAAGUGUUAUAAUAUCACUGUACUGCGGGCUUAACCAAUGUUCCCGAUGCUGAUUUUCAUUUCUAUUUCAUUAUUGAGUUUAAAUAUAUUUAUAAUAUUGAUUAGAGGAGUAAUCGUGACAGCAUACAACUAUUGUAUUUCCGUAAUAAUCAUCGAAAUACUAUUUGUUGUGCCAAAGUAUUCACUAAUAAGCUCAGUGAUAAUAAAAAUGAACAAGUAACCAAAUUGUUCAGAUCGGGUAGAAAACAUUAGACUACAAACUGUAAGGUAUCCCUUACCUCUCUCCCGAAACACACAAAAAUUUAAAUUCUUCUCAAUAUUAGGAAUACCGGUUACUUAUGAGACUAAAUGAAAUAGAAAUUCACAAAAGCUUAACCGAUGCUAAAAAUUAAUACAUGAAAAAAAAAAUUCAGCACUUUUAAGUCGCCAAUGAUAAUAUUGAUAAGCCUCUUUCAGUUUAGCGUUAUGUACUCUGGACAAAUGAGAGUAGUUUUUAGUGCCAUUGAUCGAAAAACCCGUUUCUAUUUGCUUAUAUAACAAAAUUCGUGAAGUCGCACGUUUUAUGUUCUGAGGGUUUUUCUGAUUUCAUGAUGUGGGUAAUUACUUCCAUUAAAUUGUUCUAAAAUCAACAUCAAUAUUUAAUGAUAUUUUAAUUUCCUUUGGCGAUAGACUUAUUGGGCGAGCAUUUGUUCUCCAACAAUAUAAUGCUGCUUACCAUAAGAUGAUAACAUUCCUAACGGAAUCUCUUCUCGCAAGUGUGAUAAAAUCAUAGAUAAAUCACAUAAAAUGUUUCACUGAAAACGCAAAAACUAUAUCUUGAAAUAAGUAACUAGUUGUUAACGCGACAUUAUAAGACGGAAUUAUCGAAUACUUUAAAAAUUCAAGUGGUCGAUAAAGGCGUUUAUUUUUAUACAAAUAUUUUUGUCAUACCUUUAUGUCUAUAACUGUUUGUGUAGCAUUCGAAUGUAGAAGUAAAAAUCGUUAUAUAUUUUAAGGCUUUUUAAGAAAACUUCAUGCUAAUUGAGGAGAAAGAUUCAAAAAAUGGAAUUCAAAUAAAAACAGCUUCCAGGAUCCCCUAUCCAAAAGAUGAUUUAUUCUUAACAGCAACAAGUAACGUGCUAUUUUCUCCACUUGAAAGAACAACAAACGACACGAUGCUAAGCAAAGACAUAGAGCCUGGUUUAUAAAUGUAUGUUUAUAUGUUGUCUCGCUUUAAACUUCUGUUUUCGUACCCGACCUUCCUAUUAUAAUAAAGUACACCUUAAAUUAAGAUCGUGCAUAUGCUUCGAUUCUCAAAUAAUCGUACAAUAUGAAUUUUAACGUUAACAUGGACAAUAAGAUCGUUUGCUACAGGUUGGCAGCACUGCCAGCUGGUAAGCCCAAAAAGAGUGAAUGGUUAUUGGAAGAUGAAAAACUCGCAUAUAUUUAAAAUCAGAAUUCAUGGAAAAAUGGAAAAGCAUCGAACGCCUUAAGUAAUUUCUCAAAUUUAUUAAGGAGCUUCGCAUCUCUUGUAACUACACAAGAAAAGGAAAGGAAAAGCGAACUUUGUCAAAAGACUGAGUAGACUUGAUGCCAGAGCUGAAUGCAUUGGGCCCGUCAUGUAAGGCUGACGAAGGCUAUGGUAGAAUUGGAGACAAUCAAUAGAGAAGAUUGCAGCACAUAAAAUGGUGAGAGGACCAGCUCUCAUCGCCCUUGUCAUCAAUCUUUACAAGAUCUUGAUCAUGCCUUCCAAGUGAUUUUUUACUAGAAUUUUGAAUUUCAGAUUAAGAUAAAAUUAAAAAAAAAAAUAGAUAGCUGAUGUGCCCAGAACAUCAUUGGGCACAAACGACGCCUCUCUUUGGGAGAAGACAGUCUUCAUAGAUCUCAAGGAUAUGCGCGAAGUCUGUUCAUAUCGGCUGAGAAAACAUCUUGCGCAAGCACCUCAGCUAUUAAAUGAAUACCAAAUAUAUUUUAAUUAGAAAUAAAUUAUAUAAAAAAAUAGCUUCACUCUUUAAGAAAAUAAAAAAUUUUGUACGAUUUCAUUGCCAAUUAAAGUUUAUUUGGAAAAUGGGUGAGAUUUCCAAAAAAUUAAAUGUUUUGGAUCAGUGCGAACAAUGAGAGAGUCAACAUAUGCAUAUAUUUACUUUAUUGAUCGACUCAAGUAUUGAUGCUGACCAAGAAUGUAUAUACAUAUGUACUUUAUGGAGUCUCAGAUACCUGUAACAUACAUUUGCACAAAGUCAAUAUACUCUUUGUUCACUCCAGUUAAUUCACAGAUAUAAAAAUGGCUCUUGGACUUCAAUACUCAUUUUACAUAUUGUAUUAUUUUCAUCAACUUGUGCCUUAGAAGUUUGUAUUAUUGGAAUUAUUAAUCAAAUUAUUUUGCACACGACUUACCUAGAAAAUGCCAAUUUCUAUCUGCAAAAAGCCGAACCCAAA